GUGCUCACUUUAGCAGCACGUAGACUAAAACUAGAACAAUACAGAGAUUAGCAUGGUCCCCGUACAAGGAAGACACACACAUUUCCAGAUCAGUAUCUAAGGCUG
ensembl:snRNA U6 U6 spliceosomal RNA